GUGACCUCAAAUCAGGUAGGACUACCCGCUGAACUUAAGCAUAUCAAUAAGCGGAGGAAAAGAAACUAACAAGGAUUCCCCUAGUAACUGCGAGUGAAGCGGGAAAAGCUCAAAUUUAAAAUCUGGCAGUCUCUUUUGGCUGUCCGAGUUGUAAUCUAGAGAAGUGUUAUCCGCGCUGGACCGUGUACAAGUCUCCUGGAAUGGAGCAUCAUAGAGGGUGAGAAUCCCGUCUUUGACAUGGACUACCAGGGCUUUGUGAUGCGCUCUCAAAGAGUCGAGUUGUUUGGGAAUGCAGCUCAAAAUGGGUGGUAAAUUCCAUCUAAAGCUAAAUAUUGGCGAGAGACCGAUAGCGAACAAGUACCGUGAGGGAAAGAUGAAAAGAACUUUGGAAAGAGAGUUAAACAGUACGUGAAAUUGCUGAAAGGGAAACGCUUGAAGUCAGUCGCGUUGUCCAGGGAUCAACCUUGCUUUUGCUUGGUGCACUUUCUGGUUCAAUGGGUCAGCAUCAAUUUUGACCAUUGGAAAAAGGUCAGGGGAAUGUGGCAUCUUUGGAUGUGUUAUAGCCCUUGGUCAUAUACAAUGGUUGGGAUUGAGGAACUCAGCACGCCGCAAGGCCGGGUAUUAUACCACGUACGUGCUAGGAUGC
rnacentral:rRNA from 1 species